CCUACGAGAGGCAGCAGUGGGGAAUAUUGGGCAAUGGAGGAAACUCUGACCCAGCAACGCCGCGUGAAUGAUGAAGGUCUUCGGAUUGUAAAGUUCUUUUCUAAGGGAAGAAGAAAGUGACGGUACCUUAGGAAUAAGCCUCGGCUAACUACGUGCCAGCAGCCGCGGUAAUACGUAGGAGGCGAGCGUUAUCCGGAAUGACUGGGCGUAAAGGGUGCGUAGGUGUUUUGGCAAGGUAGUAGCGUAACUCCAAGGCUCAACCUUGGAACUACUACUAAAACUGUUGGACUUGAGUGCAGGAGGGGCAACCGGAAUUCCUAGUGUAGCGGUGGAAUGCGUAGAUAUUAGGAGGAACACCAGUGGCGAAGGCGGCUUGCUGGACUGUAAAUGACGCUGAGGCUCGAAAGCGUGGGGAGCAAACAGGAUUAGAUACCCCAGUAGUC
rnacentral:rRNA from 1 species